rnacentral:piRNA from 4 species
UAAGUCAGAAUCCCGCCCAGGCGGAAC